GCUCCAGUGGCGCAAUUGGUUAGCGCACGGUACUUAUACGACAGUUUCUGUGAGCUAUGCCGGGGUUGUGAGUUCGAGCCUCACCUGGAGCA
rnacentral:tRNA from 1 species